CUGCAUGUUUUGGCCUUUGGGCAUUUUUGGCCUCUCGAUUUCUAUAGAGAGGACAAGAACAAACAUGCUAGAUUAACACUUUGGGAGUUAACAGGGCCACCAGUCUCUCAAGGUCAGACUGAGUUGGUAGUAUAAUACUCCAACAAAC